rnacentral:rRNA from 1 species
UACGUAGGGUGCGGGCGUUGUCCGGAAUUACUGGGCGUAAAGAGCUCGUAGGUGGUUUGUCGCGUUGUUCGUGAAAACUCACGGCUUAACUGUGAGCGUGCGGGCGAUACGGGCAGACUGGAGUACUGCAGGGGAGACUGGAAUUCCUGGUGUAGCGGUGGAAUGCGCAGAUAUCAGGAGGAACACCGGUGGCGAAGGCGGGUCUCUGGGCAGUAACUGACGCUGAGGAGCGAAAGCGUGGGGAGCGAACAGG